CGGGAUUGAAGCUGUGUCCCGUUCCUGAAAGAAAGAGUUCUGCGGUGGAUUAGCAAUGUCUGCUGUGAAUGAGGCCUGGGAGCGGGGCCUCCAGGGUGGUCUCAGUUCUUCACAACGGGGCUCCUUUCGAAACUUGUGGAAACGCUUUUGGCUGUUGCUAGGGAAAACAAUAGAAACAACUAUGGGAACACAGGAAGGGUGUCUCGAUAUGACUGGCAGAGUCAAGGAAGACUUUAUGGGUGAGAGUUUUCGAGCUGGGAACUGAAAGGUAAGUAGGAGUUUGCCUAGUAGGCAGACUGGGAGAGGGCAUCCUAACCAGCAGGAAUGGCACAUGCAAAGAUGUGGCAGGAGGGGUGAGUGGCUCUUGGAAGUGUACCUGGAAUACCAGGACACUGAUUGCGAAGGGCACCGUGAUGGCAGGGAAUAAAGUCGCACUUUUGAAAGCUGCCUUUAACCUGGCUGUCAGAACCCUUGAAAUUUGGCAAAGCAGCUACAGUACCGUGCAGCUGGCAGUGCAGUAACAGAAAUGCCCUCGAGGUGGCGCACAGGGGCAGGAUUUUCUUUUUCUUUUUUUUUUUUCUUUUUGAGAGCCGAUCUGAAUCUGUCAUUCAGGCUGACCUAGAACUCACUUUGCAGCCCACACUGGCCUUGAACUCGAAGCAAUUCUCCUGCCUCAGCCUCCCAAGUACUGGGAUUACAGGCAUGAGCCACCAUGCACACGGGGGCAGGAUUUUUUUAAGGACUGGUGCUGGUGCUGGUGCUGCUGUUGACCCACCAGGGAGCAGGAGGAAGCUGCCGAUAAGUCCAGCUCUCCACCCCUACUCCUACCAAUGAUGAUUUCUUUGAAGGUUGACAUGGUUUCCAAUUCUGUGCAUUGAAACAAAAUGAAUGUGGCUUCUGAAACGCCACCCAGACCCAAAUUCCAGCCACUCAGCCAAGCCACA
rnacentral:lncRNA from 1 species